rnacentral:tRNA from 1 species
GUCCCCGUAGCUCAGCUGGAUAGAGCAUCGGUUUCCUAAACCGAAGGUCGCACGUUCGAAUCGUGCCGGGGACGCCA